rnacentral:misc_RNA from 1 species
GAUGAAGAACGCAGCGAAAUGAGAUACUUGGUGUGAAUUGCAGAAUCCCGUGAACCAUCGAGUCUUUGAACGCAAGUUGCGCCCGAAGCCAUUAGGCCGAGGGCACGCCUGCCUGGGCGUCACACGUCGUUGCCCCCCCAUCUACUCCUUCGGGAUUGCGGGGGGCGGAUGAUGGCCUCCCGUGCGCCUCGCCGCGCGGUUGGCAUAAAUGCCAAGUCCUCGGCGACGCACGCCACGACAAUCGGUGGUUGCGAAACCUCGGUUGCCCGUCGUGUGCGGUCGUCGCGCAUCGAGGGCUCGAAAAAAUUGCCGGGUUCCGGCUCGGCUUUCAACGCGACCCCAGGUCAGGUGGGGUUACCCGCUGAGUUUAAGCAUAUCAAUAAGCGGAGGA